rnacentral:rRNA from 1 species
CCCUUAGAUGUCCUGGGCCGCACGCGCGCUACACUGAGUGUCUGAGAUACGAGUCUGCCUGGUCCGGCAAGGUCUAGGUAAUCGCUAAAAGACACAUCAUGCUUGGGAUAGAUUAUUGCAAAUAUUAAUCUUGAACGAGGAAUUCCUAGUAAGCGCAAGUCAACAGCUUGCGUUGAUUACGUCCCUGCCCUUUGUACACACCGCCCUUCGCUACUACUGAUUGGAUGUUUAAGCGAGGUUCUCGAACUGCUAGCGACUUAGCUUCGGUGAGGUCGCAGUGUGGGAAGUGAACCUAGCUUUGGUGUCUAGAGGAAGUAAAAGUCGUAACA